GACCAGACUCCUACGGGAGGCAGCAGUGGGGAAUAUUGGGCAAUGGGCGAAAGCCUGACCCAGCAACGCCGCGUGAAGGAAGAAGGCUUUCGGGUUGUAAACUUCUUUUGACAGGGAAGAGCAGAAGACGGUACCUGUCGAAUAAGCCACGGCUAACUACGUGCCAGCAGCCGCGGUAAUACGUAGGUGGCAAGCGUUGUCCGGAUUUACUGGGUGUAAAGGGCGUGUAGCCGGGCUGACAAGUCAGAUGUGAAAUCCGGGGGCUCAACCCCCGAACUGCAUUUGAAACUGUUGGUCUUGAGUAUCGGAGAGGCAGGCGGAAUUCCUAGUGUAGCGGUGAAAUGCGUAGAUAUUAGGAGGAACACCAGUGGCGAAGGCAGCUUGCUAGGCCGGAUCUGACACUGAUGCACGAAAGCGUGGGGAUCGAACAGGAUUAGAUACCCUGGUA
rnacentral:rRNA from 1 species